rnacentral:rRNA from 1 species
AGUGAACGCUGGCGGUAGGCCUAACACAUGCAAGUCGAACGGCAGCACAGUAAGAGCUUGCUCUUACGGGUGGCGAGUGGCGGACGGGUGAGGAAUACAUCGGAAUCUACUUUUUCGUGGGGGAUAACGUAGGGAAACUUACGCUAAUACCGCAUACGACCUACGGGUGAAAGCAGUGGAUCUUCGUACCUUGCGCGAUUGAAUGAGCCGAUGUCGGAUUAGCUAGUUGGCGGGGUAAAGGCCCACCAAGGCGACGAUCCGUAGCUGGUCUGAGAGGAUGAUCAGCCACACUGGAACUGAGACACGGUCCAGACUCCUACGGGAGGCAGCAGUGGGGAAUAUUGGACAAUGGGCGCAAGCCUGAUCCAGCCAUACCGCGUGGGUGAAGAAGGCCUUCGGGUUGUAAAGCCCUUUUGUUGGGAAAGAAAAGCAGCAGGUUAAUACCCCGCUGUUCUGACGGUACCCAAAGAAUAAGCACCGGCUAACUUCGUG